CAGACACAACUCUAUCAAAUCCUAGCAGCUCAUCCUCCUUCAACUGCUCAUCUUUCACAGUCUUUUCAACUUCAACUUCCUCACGCACAGAACUACCCAAAUCCACUAAAUUUUCAUUCAAUUCCGCUACUGUGGAACCCUUUCCAUUCUCAAUUGCCCUAUCAACACCAACAUCAACCAAAGAAGCCUUCUUGAUUCCAACAUUAUUCACAUCAGCAGAACCAAUUGUACUUGUACUACCACUGGCAUCCAAAUUCUCUGCUUUAAUGUCAUA
rnacentral:misc_RNA from 1 species